rnacentral:rRNA from 1 species
UGGGGAAUAUUGGACAAUGGGCGCAAGCCUGAUCCAGCGACGCCGCGUGUGUGAAGAAGGCCUGCGGGUUGUAAAGCACUUUCGAUGGGAACGAAAUGUGCCGGGUUAAUACCCCGGUAAGCUGACGUUACUCAAUGAAGAAGCACCGGCUAACUCUGUGCCAGCAGCCGCGGUAAUACAGAGGGUGCGAGCGUUAAUCGGAAUUACUGGGCGUAAAGCGCACGUAGGUGGCGACGUAAGUCGGGUGUGAAAGCCCCGGGCUCAACCUGGGAAUUGCAUUCGAGACUGCAUUGCUGGAGUACGGAAGAGGAGGGCGGAAUUCCCGGUGUAGCGGUGAAAUGCGUAGAUAUCGGGAGGAACAUCGGUGGUGUAGACGGCUUUCUGGACCAUUACUGACGCUGAGGCACGAAAGCGUGGGGAGCAAACAGGAUUAGAUACCCCGGUAGUCCCUGAGCGGGCUGGCAAGGCGCAU